CCUACGGGGGGCAGCAGUGAGGAAUAUUGGUCAAUGGACGAGAGUCUGAACCAGCCAAGUAGCGUGAAGGAUGACUGCCCUAUGGGUUGUAAACUUCUUUUAUAUGGGAAUAAAAUGUUCCACGUGUGGGAUUUUGUAUGUACCAUAUGAAUAAGGAUCGGCUAACUCCGUGCCAGCAGCCGCGGUAAUACGGAGGAUCCGAGCGUUAUCCGGAUUUAUUGGGUUUAAAGGGAGCGUAGGUGGAUUGUUAAGUCAGUUGUGAAAGUUUGCGGCUCAACCGUAAAAUUGCAGUUGAAACUGGCAGUCUUGAGUACAGUAGAGGUGGGCGGAAUUCGUGGUGUAGCGGUGAAAUGCUUAGAUAUCACGAAGAACUCCGAUUGCGAAGGCAGUUCACUGGACUGCAACUGACACUGAGGCUCGAAAGUGUGGGUAUCAAACAUGAUUAGAUACCCCAGUAGUC
rnacentral:rRNA from 1 species